rnacentral:rRNA from 1 species
UUUUCCUACCUUGUUACACGUUGAUUAUGCCAUCCACGUUUCAAAGGCUAAAUUAUCCCGCAUUAAAUUCCCUCAUCAGCAAUAACUCUGCUCUGGGCCAUGAUCAACGACUCUAAUCUGAAUAUCGCCAAGAGUUCUCGAGCCUAGGCUAAUCGUCUAAACCACACGGUGUGGGGACGCCCGACUCGCGCCCGAGGAUUCUAAACGGCACCUAAAAGGCCGCAAAAUUCAUGGCCGUCUUUUCAAGCGACAGGAAAAACCCUGCGUUACCCAAUAAAUCCCUUGAAAAUCCCCUUUCCCCAGCUGGGGUAUACCAAAGGCCCCCCAUCGCCCUUAUGCAAAGGUGCCACCCGAUGGCAAAGGAAUUGAACGUAUCGUAUUUGUAA